rnacentral:rRNA from 1 species
UACGUAGGCGGAAAAUUAAGUCAGUAGUGAAAUCCUGCAGCUUAACUGUAGAACUGUUAUUGAUACUGGUUUUCUUGACUAUAGUUGAGGUAGGCGGAAUGUGUAAUGUAGCGGUGAAAUGCUUAGAUAUUACACAGAACACCGAUUGCGAAGGCAGCUUACUAAGCUAUGAUUGACGCUGAGGUACGAAAGCGUGGGGAGCGAACAGGAUUAGAUACCCUGGUAGUCC